ensembl:lncRNA
CUCCCACGCCCCAGCGGCCUCAUUUCCACGGAAGAAGCACAAUGCACUCUGAGCUCUAAAUAAAACCCUUUCACAGUUGCCCUGAAGUUAUUUUCUAGGCUUCCAUCCCUCCCCCUCUGCCCCCCCUCGGGUAUGUGGUGCUCUCCCGGCGGCUGACCUUCGCACCCAGCACUCAGGACCCGGUUGUUGUCCUUUGGAGGGGCCGCGGCAGACGGGGGCGGGCGGUUGGCAAACAGGACAUUGGCCUCCAGCACUUGGCGAUAAACGCGGCGGCACUGAUGGUGUCUUAGGGCAGUGCUCGGCACGGCGCUGGCACUGCUUUGUCCCGCUCCCGUCGACCGUACCCAGAGCUCUGCUCCCCCUGAGCCUGCCCACGGCCGGGCACUGCGCGGGGCCACGUGUGUAGGGCGAGGUGUGAGCCCGGCUGCCGGACAUGGGCAGCAGUGCGCCUCGAGCAGCGCGUGCCGCUGGGAGAAUCCAGCCCUCGCUCUGCCUUCAGCACGGCCAAGCCCAGCCCCGCCGCCGCUCUGUGCACGCACGCUUCUCCCUGCCUGCAGACACGUUACGGCAGUGCCCCGGGCACACAGGUGAGGGCAGAGCGCCGGGGCACAGCGCGGCUCUCUCCUCUCUGUCCCAGCAGAGCUCUGCAGAGCUGCAGCCUGAGAUCCCCUCCGGGUGAAUGGCCGCUGUGCUGCGGCUUCUUUGCCAGUCCUCCCCCGGCAGCACGGACAUCCGCGGCCGUGUGAGCCGUGCUGAGGUCUCCUGCUUUCCGAGGGGCACCGACUCACGGUGCCAACGGGCAGGACUCGAUGGAGAGCUGGCAGCUGGUUCAGGCGUGCUGUGACAGCCUCUCAGCAAUCAGAGUAUUUACUAAUUUCAAUCCCCGACGCGUUGCCCUUCUGAGGCGAGCGCUCGCUCUGCAGAGAAAUCUGUGAAAUGAGGCACAUGAUUUUCCAGCAGCACCACUCGCAGCUCGGUUUGAGAUGGGAACAGGAAGAAAUGUGUCAACACUUUCAUGUCUCUGCAUGUCGGAGCGGCGUGCCUGGCCAGGGCUGUGUGCUGCGGGCACACGUGUCACGGGCAGCACCAGGGCUGUGUGUGGGGCCGCGCUCUGCUGCGCAGGGCUAUGAGCCCGAGCCCCACAGCACUGCAGGGGCCCCUCGGCACCGCUGUGUGCAGGCACUGCCGCAUCCCAGCAGGGCAGGCCAUGAUCUGACCCCCUGUGCAGGCUCUGUGAACAUGGCAGUGUGCCCCGAGGUCCCCACACACCGUGUGGCUGUGAUUAAAAACAGGCUGUGUGCAAACCAUGUGGGGCUUUGUGUUAAUUAAGUGUUGCCUCGUAAGGUGCGUGCUGGGAUACAGAGGUGCAGGAGUGGGGCUGAUGGCAAAAUGAGCUGCUGAUCAAAGAGCUGCUCAGUGCUGGGGGGCCGGGUUGGGGGGGCCCUCGCUGGGGUCCAGGUCCCCACUGCAGCCCCACAGUCAAAGCACGGAGCUACAGCCCCACACCGAGCAGCCCUGCUCUGUUCCUCAGCCCCGUCCCUGCAGCACCGCCGCUGCUAACACGGCUCUCUUGUUAAGUCGGGACAGUUCUGGAGAUGAGGCACACGAGGCAGUACUCAGCUCUGGGUGCUGGGGCUGCCAGGCGCUGCUGGCUUUGCCCACAGCCCCGGUUCGUGUCCGUGAUGGGAUAUCCAUACUUUCUUCCCUAUGCACGGGAGCGUUUUACAGAGAAAUGCUGUCAGCAUUCUGAGGGGCUGCUGCAUUCCAGCAUCUCAGUUUUAACACCACUCAGUGUGAAAACAUGAACAUUUUGACUCCAACUACGGAAUGACAAAUGUGAGCGCCAGACAUCUGCCACUCAUUUCAGAAUGUCACCAUUCCCCACAGCGCAGCAGUGCUGGCACGGGGCUGCGUGGGGCCCCAGGGCGGUGCUGCUCCUUUGCCCCAUCCCUGCCCGCAGUGGGGAAUCCCAGCAGGAAAUGGCCAUUCACACUGCAGUGUGUGUGCCCGGGUCAGCAGCUCGGCUCACCCAGCAGCCACAGUGCUGUUUGCAGAGCUCUUCGUGCACAACAGCUGCGUCUGCUGAGCAGCAAACUGCGUGGGAAAGAACUUCGAUAAAUAAAAAGUUAUUAAAUGUAAACAAAGGCUGUGCAGGAACGGCUGAAGGUUCAAAAGUUGUGACCGUCAUGGACAACUUUUGUCAUCCCUUGGGAACCAACUGGGACUUCUCAAGAGUAAGAAUUGCUUUCCUUCCCUGCAGGCCCACCUGCGCUCACUUCCCUCUGGCUGCAGCCACGUGCAGACAGAGCUGUGCACACCUGGGAGCUGCACAGGGGCACGGGGCUGCCUGGAAGGACCUCCUCCUGCAGCACUCCUCCAUGUGGGAGAGGAGGAGGUGAGCAGCACUGCAGUGGUGUGGCAGCACCCAGCAUGGCGUGCACUGCUGUCUGCUCUGCUCAUUGGAGUCGGUUCCUGCCGGCUGUGGUCAGGAUGGGGCCCACACCGCCCUGCACCGCUGCAGGAAGGAGCUGGCAGCAGAGGCCCCAGCAUGGUUUGCAGGGAGGAAACCAAAGCAUGUGGCUGCGCAGCUCACAGCACAGCACAGGGCAACAUGCUUGAGCAGCAGGCUAAUAGCCACGGCCAGCAGCGUGCCCUCAGUGCAUGGAGGGCUGUCGCAUCCCUUCCCCUGCAUCACACUCCGCAUUUGCUCUGCAGUGAAGCAUGGGUUAGAAGGCUGAGCCACCCAAUGCAGGUCACUGCAGCAGUGCCGUACGCCACAGGGAAUGCCACGAGUGCUGCCCCGUCACUGCGCUCCGCAUCCUGCGCUGCUCUGCAAAAACGAGAGCCCCAGCACAGCCCCGGACCCACACAGCCCACUGCUCACCCCAAAGCUGUGUGUUCCCCAGUGGGACCGUGGCGUGGAAGAGCCCAUCUUUCCCAGGCAGCGAUGGGAGCAGGAGGGGUGUGAUGGGCGCCUCCUGCAGAGCAGCCGGCCCCUCUGCCUCUGCUGCGUGCAGCCCUGGGAGUGCAGCGCUUUUUCUGCAGCUGCAGGAGAUGCAGGGGGGUUCACGUCCCACUGGCUGCUCGCUGUUUUUUUCAGCUGGCUCUGAGAAGUGCGGGUAAUUAGGAAAAAUCUAUAACAAGAAGUACAAACAAGUCACGGUCUGCCAUUAGCCAGAAAGUCUGCCCUCUGCCUCAGCUACAGCUUGAUUCAAUCAGAAUAAUGAAGCAGAAGCUGUGCAGAGGGAAACAGCACUUGGGGAAGGUCUGAAAACACAGAGGCACAGCUCGGAGAGCAGGUCUUGCAGUGGAACCUGAAGUGGGGGUGUGGGCUGAUGCUGGGCCAACACCUCUGUGAGCGCAGCGCAGCGCAGCCUAUGGCAUGUGCAGAGGGGCACCGGGGAAAGGCACCCAGACUCAGUGGAGGGAGCAGAGCCCUUCCCCUGUCCCACUGCCCAGCUGCUGUCCCACCCACACACCACAGGGCCAUGACCGCCCGCACUGUGGGGCUCUGCCCCUCUCUGCAUGCCCCCCCGUGACCCC